rnacentral:lncRNA from 1 species
ACGUAACACGUAUUGCAUAUAAACCUAAGUUGUACCUAUCUAUACCGUUCAUAGAGCACAUAAAUCCCCGCCUCCCAAAGCAGUCCCCAAAAUUUAUUAUACAUCAAUAAUAAUAAUGUCUUUACAAAUAUUACAAAUCAAAUAACACGAAAAAUAAGAAGAAAGAAAAACAAGCUAUGAAGAAUAACAUAGUCAAUUUCAUCAUCCCGACAACUCUUCGGAACCCCUUCCAAUAACACCUGUUGAAUAUAAUAGAAGAACAAUGCAAGCACGGGACAAACAAGGUACAACAUAUAAGCAGCAAGCAAUUGUUUCAACUACGGGACAAACAAGGUACAACAUAUAAGCAGCAAGCAAUUGUUUCAACUAAUCCUAUAGGCAUGCUUUCUAUUAUGUAAAUACAUUGACGAGGGACUUACCAGUGCGCAACAGUAAAUGAGAUAAUAAGAAUAAAAGAAAGCCAAGCACCGCGAAAUACGCAAGAUGUUUUCCGUAAGCCUCGAAGAAAAAACCGGAGAACUUUUAGAGUAUCCAAUUGGUUUAUGUUAAAAGUAGUUGGUAUCUUGUUUAAAAGAGAGUAAUAGUUUGUGAUUGUAGAACUGUCCAUUGAAUGAAAAGAGAUGUUUAUAUAGUGGAGAGAUUGUAAAAUUAAAGGAAGAAAAUACGGAAAAUCAAUCAGUAAUGAUAAGAAAGGAAACAAACUAUUCUAAACAAGCAAUCAGAAUUAAUCAAUCAAGGAGAAGGAAAAUAUCGAGUUUCCUUUUUAAAAAGGAUCUGCCACGGAAUACCUUCCUUAAUUAGUUUAAUCAAAUCCCAUUAAGGAGAAGAGGAAAAAGAUUGCUAUAAUAAACUAAUGAAUAUUCCACGGAAGGCAAGAAAAAUCAAUCAGAAGACUAUUUUCCAUAAAUCAAUACCAUCAGUCAAUUACAAUAAAACAGUAACAGAUUAUCACGAAUCGAGAAACAGGAGUCACGGAGGCAAAUUAGUGAACAAAGGAUAUAUUGAGACCAUUUUAUAAAUUGCAAGGAAAACAGACUAAUCAAACAAAGUAUUUUCUUAGUUGAAACGGAUUCAUUUUAAUUAAAAAUAUAUAACGCAGUCCAAUUUAUGCAUCACAAUAUGUAUAUCAAAUCUGUCUGAAACAGUGAAAGCAAAAAAAAUAAUAAUAAUAAACAUCAGCUAGUAGACAAUUUGAAACUAAUCAAGGUCCAUAGAAUUUGGGGCUUCUCAGGUAUGUCGAUCAAGAGACGAACAUAAACCCAAAUUUAACAAAUUGGAACGAAUUUCAGAGUCACAAUGUCACGAACAACCAAAGCAGACAACCAUGCAUGUUAAACUAGAGUACACCAUCAUGAAAUUAAGCGAUUUAAAAAUCAAAUCGGACAAAAAAUAGCCGGUGUUCGUCGAAAGGAUCGCCGGUUAUUCACUUCAGAGAAGAAUGGAAAAUAGACAGUAAAGACGAUGCAGAGUUUUUCCACGGGUAGGGGAAAGGAGACGCCAGAGCAGCGGCCUUAUUGGUGGCGCGGUUUUCCCGCUAGUGGCAGCGCCGGGCGGUAGGCGGUGGAGAGGGCUGGUUUCGAUGGGGAGGCGAGGGAGAGGCGUUGGAUCUGGGGUGCUGAUGGAGGAGAGAGGGUUCGCCGGUGUUGAUGUCGCCGUUGGUGGCUGGUACUUCCACCAACCAUGGUGGCCGGUGGCUUCAAAGAGGAGGGAGAGAAGAGAGGUAGAGAGAGAAAGUAGAGAAGGGGGGUGGAGG